rnacentral:rRNA from 1 species
GUACGCUGGCGGCACGCCUAACACAUGCAAGUCGAACGAAGUAGCAAUACUUAGUGGCAGACGGGUGAGUAACAUGUGGGUAUCUACCCUUUGGCCUGGAAUAACACGAGGAAACUUGUGCUAAUACCGGAUAAGUCUUUACGGAGAAAGCUUUAUGCACCAUUGGAUGAGCCUGCACUUGAUUAGUUUGUUGGUGGGGUAAUGGCCUACCAAGACUGUGAUCAAUAGCUGAUUUGAGAGGAUGAUCAGCCACAUUGGGACUGAGACACGGCCCAAACUCCUACGGGAGGCAGCAGUGGGGAAUCUUGCACAAUGGAGGAAACUCUGAUGCAGCGAUGCCGCGUGAGUGAAGAAGGCCCUUGGGUUGUAAAGCUCUUUCGUCGGGGAAGAAAAUGACUGUACCCGAAUAAGAAGGUCCGGCUAACUUCGUGCCAGCAGCCGCGGUAAUACGAAGGGACCUAGCGUAGUUCGGAAUUACUGGGCUUAAAGAGUUCGUAGGUGGUUGAAAAAGUUGGUGGUGAAAUCCCAGAGCUUAACUCUGGAACUGCCAUCAAAACUUUUCAGCUAGAGUUUGAUAGAGGAAAGCAGAAUUUCUAGUGUAGAGGUGAAAUUCGUAGAUAUUAGAAAGAAUACCAAUUGCGAAGGCAGCUUUCUGGAUCAUUACUGACACUGAGGAACGAAAGCAUGGGUAGCGAAGAGGAUUAGAUACCCUCGUAGUCCAUGCCGUAAACGAUGUGUGUUAGACGUUGGAAAUUUAUUUUCAGUGUCGCAGCGAAAGCGAUAAACACACCGCCUGGGGAGUACGACCGCAGGUUAAAACUCAAAUGGAAUUGACGGU